UACAGAGGUCUCAAGCGUUGUUCGGAGUCAUUGGGCGUAAAGGGUGCGUAGGUGGCGCUGUAAGUCGGGUGUGAAAUUUCGGAGCUUAACUCCGAAACUGCAUUCGAUACUGCGGUGCUUGAGGACUGGAGAGGAGACUGGAAUUCAUGGUGUAGCAGUGAAAUGCGUAGAGAUCAUGAGGAAGACCAGUGGCGAAGGCGGGUCUCUGGACAGUUCCUGACACUGAGGCACGAAGGCCAGGGGAGCAAACGGG
rnacentral:rRNA from 1 species